rnacentral:rRNA from 1 species
AUUACGGCUCAGUAACACGUCGAUAACUUCCCCUUUGGUCUGGGACAGCCUUGGGAAACUGAGGGUAAACCCGGAUAGGAGAUUGGUACUGGAAUGUUCUUUCUCUGAAAAGCAAUGCCAAAGGAUAGGUCGGCGGCUGAUUAGGUAGUUGGUGAGGUAACGGCUCACCAAGCCUGGGAUCAGUAGGGGCCAUGAGAGUGGGAGCCCCGAGAAGGGUACUGAGACACUUACCCUAGCCCUACGGGGUGCAGCAGGCGCGAAAACUCUACAAUGCACGAAAGUGCGAUAGGGGAAUCCCAAGUGCAUAUACUUUACGUAUAUGCUUUUGCUAAGCGUAAAUAACUUGGCGAAUAAGUGGUGGGAAAGACUGGUGCCAGCCGCCGCGGUAAUCCCAGCGCCACAAGUGGCAAUCACAUUUAUUUGGCCUAAAGCGUCCGUAGCAGGUUUUGUAAAUCUCUUGUGAAAGCGUUGUACUCAAUGCAACGAAAUGCAAGAGACACUGCAAAACUAGGAACCGGGAGGGGUCAGGGGUAUUCUUGGGGGAGCGGUAAAAUGUUAUAAUCCCAAGAGGACCACCCGUGGCGAAGGCGCCUGACUAGAACGGAUUCGACUGUGAGGGACGAAAGCUAGGGGAGCAAUCCGGAUUAGAUACCCGAGUAGUCCUAGCUGUAAACACUGCGAGCUAGGUGUCGCAUAUUCUACGAGAAUAUGCGGUGUCGAAACGAAGGUGAUAAGCUCGCCGCCUGGGAAG